CCCUUAGAUGUUCUGGGCAGCACGCGCGCUACAAUGGUCUUCGCAAACGGAUGCAUUCUCGAAGGAGAAUGCCAAUCUUGGAAUCUAUGCCUUGGUCGGGACAGUUGCUUGCAAUUUUUCGACUCGAACCAGGAAUUCCUUGUAAUCGUGAUUCAUCACAUCACGAUGAAUACGUCCCCGCCCUUUGUACACACCGCCCGUCGCUCCUACCGAUCGAAGAGUUAGGUGAAUUGUUUUGAUCGAUAAGAUUUGACUAUGGUUAACUCUCGUUGUGAAAUUCUGUGAAUCUGACUGUUUAGAGGAAGGAAAAGUCGUAACA
rnacentral:rRNA from 1 species